rnacentral:rRNA from 1 species
GGGUAACCGUAGCCCGACUAAGAAGGGGGAGUAACAAUCCGGAAACGGGUAGGCUAAUACCGCAUAGUUUUCUUUGAUCGCAUGAUUGGGAAAGGGAAAGAACGGCCGUUUCGUUGCUGUCGCUUAUGGAUGGACCCGCGGCGUAUUAGUCAGUUGGUGAGGUAACGGCUCACCAAGACGAUGAUACGUAGCCGACCUGAGAGGGUGAUCGGCCACAUUGGGACUGAGACACGGCCCAAACUCCUACGGGAGGCAGCAGUAGGGAAUCUUCCGCAAUGGACGAAAGUCUGACGGAGCAAUGCCGCGUGAGUGAAAGAAGGUUUUCGGAUCGUAAAACUCUGUUGUCAGAGAAGAACAAGUUGGAGAGUAACUGCUCCAGCCUUGACGGUAUCUGACCAGAAAGCCACGGCUAACUACGUGCCAGCCGCGGC